AUUGAACGCUGGCGGCAUGCCUUACACAUGCAAGUCGAACGGCAGCGGGCCCUUCGGGGUGCCGGCGAGUGGCGAACGGGUGAGUAAUGCAUCGGAACGUACCCGGGAGAGGGGGAUAACCGGCCGAAAGGCUGGCUAAUACCGCAUGAACUCGGAAGAGCAAAGCGGGGGACCUUCGGGCCUCGCGCUCUCGGAGCGGCCGAUGUCCGAUUAGGCUAGUUGGUGGGGUAAAGGCCCACCAAGGCGACGAUCGGUAGCGGGGCUGAGAGGACGAUCCGCCACACUGGGACUGAGACACGGCCCAGACUCCUACGGGAGGCAGCAGUGGGGAAUCUUGGACAAUGGGCGCAAGCCUGAUCCAGCAAUGCCGCGUGGGUGAAGAAGGCCUUCGGGUUGUAAAGCCCUUUCGGCGGGGAAGAAAUCGGUCAGGCGAAUAGUCUGGCCGGAUGACGGUACCCGCAGAAGAAGCACCGGCUAACUACGUG
rnacentral:rRNA from 1 species